rnacentral:rRNA from 1 species
CUAGCGACUUCAGAGUUUGAUCCUGGCUCAGGACGAACGCUGGCGGUGUGCCUCAUACAUGCAAGUCGAACGAGAAGAAGAAGCUUGCUUCUUCGGAAAGUGGCGGACGGGUGAGUACAACAUAGGAAAUCUGCCUUUAGGUGGGGGACAACAGAGGGAAACUUCUGCUAAUACCCCCAUAUGAGCGUAGCUGAAAUGCUAUUCUUGAAAGUUCCGGCGCCUAAAGAUGAGCCUGUGCCUGAUUAGCUAGUUGGUAGUGUAAUGGACUACCAAGGCGACGAUCAGUAGCUGGUUUGAGAGGAUGAUCAGCCACAAUGGGACUGAGACACGGCCCAU